GUACAUAUACCCCAUGGAAGCACAUAUACUAAAAUUGGAACGAUACAGAGAAGAUUAGCAUGGCCCCUGCACAAGGAUGACACGCAAAUUCGUGAAGCGUUCCAUAUAUAU